UACGUAGGGUGCGAGCGUUAAUCGGAAUUACUGGGCGUAAAGCGUGCGCAGGCGGCGCGUUAAGACAGGUGUGAAAGCCCCGGGCUUAACCUGGGAAUGGCAUUGGAAACUGGCUCGCUGGAGUGUGGCAGAGGGGGGUGGAAUUCCGCGUGUAGCAGUGAAAUGCGUAGAGAUGCGGAGGAACACCAGUGGCGAAGGCGGCUCACUGGCUCGGUACUGACGCUGAGGUGCGAAAGCGUGGGGAGCAAACAGG
rnacentral:rRNA from 1 species